UUUAAAGAUCGACAUCACUAUGUAUAAUUAAUCAUCUCUUUCUGUCUCUCUUAGUACAACGAAUUUAUAAUCAAGAAAGACUGCAUGCAUUCAAUACGGAUCAAAACGAAGACAAGGGAUUACUAAUGCUGUGUUGCAUUGGCUGAAGCAAUGAUGAUGUGUUUCUGUUUCUCUCAAGGUUAGGAUUCACACUACUGACAUCAAGUCUUUCAUUCAGAGUGAAAUUUAAGGCAGACAAGUA